rnacentral:rRNA from 1 species
GACGAACGCUAGCGGCGUGCUUAACACAUGCAAGUCGAACGGAAAGGCCCUGCUUUUGUGGGGUGCUCGAGUGGCGAACGGGCGAGUAACACGUGAGUAACCUGCCCUUGACUUUGGGAUAACUUCAGGAAACUGGGGCUAAUACCGGAUAGGAGCUCCUGCUGCAUGGUGGGGGUUGGAAAGUUUCGGCGGUUGGGGAUGGACUCGCGGCUUAUCAGCUUGUUGGUGGGGUAGUGGCUUACCAAGGCUUUGACGGGUAGCCGGCCUGAGAGGGUGACCGGCCACAUUGGGACUGAGAUACGGCCCAGACUCCUACGGGAGGCAGCAGUGGGGAAUAUUGCACAAUGGGCGGAAGCCUGAUGCAGCAACGCCGCGUGCGGGAUGACGGCCUUCGGGUUGUAAACCGCUUUCGCCUGUGACGAAGCGUGAGUGACGGUAAUGGGUAAAGAAGCACCGGCUAACUACGUG